rnacentral:rRNA from 1 species
AUUGAACGCUGGCGGCAGGCCUAACACAUGCAAGUCGAACGGCAGCGGGGGGUAGCUUGCUACCCCGCCGGCGAGUGGCGGACGGGUGAGUAAUGCCUGGGGAGCUGCCCAAUCGAGGGGGAUACCAGUUGGAAACGACUGCUAAUACCGCAUACGCCCUGAGGGGGAAAGGUGGGGAUCUUCGGACCUACCGCGAUUGGAUGCACCCAGGUGGGAUUAGCUAGUUGGUGAGGUAACGGCUCACCAAGGCGACGAUCUCUAGCUGGUCUGAGAGGAUGACCAGCCACACUGGAACUGAGACACGGUCCAGACUCCUACGGGAGGCAGCAGUGGGGAAUAUUGCACAAUGGGGGAAACCCUGAUGCAGCCAUGCCGCGUGUGUGAAGAAGGCCUCGGUGUAAGCACUUUCAGCGAGGAGGAAAGGUAGG